rnacentral:lncRNA from 1 species
CUUCCUGACAGCUCCAGUUAAUGGGACUGCCAGCAGGCUAGACAUCCUUCGCCGGAAUGUGCAGCGCUUAGUUCUGUGCCCGGGAGGGGCUUCUCUCUCUUUUGGGAUUGGAGUGUGGCAUUGCCGCCAGAAAGCCUGCAGAAUUCCGGGUUGUGCAGCCAAGCAGGAACGGUGUACCUUUCUAGACCCAUCCUCUUGCAAUCUUGGACCCUAAGAAAAGAUGUGGAGUGGGCUGCUACCUCCUGGCCUAAAUGAAAGUGACGCUGAGUCAAACUCGGAAGAUGAAGCUACGUUGGAGAACUCUGGACUUAACUUACAGGAAGAUAAAGAGGAUGAGAGCAUCAGAAAAACAGAAAUCAUAGAUUUCUCAACAGAUGAACCAAAAACUGAAACAGAGUCAAAUGUAAAUGCCUAUGAAGAGUGUCCUUCUGGAAUUCCCAUAGAUAUGUGGAAUAAAUUUCAAGAAUUGCAUAAAAAACAUUCUGAACAGAAAAGCACAACCUCAAGAUUCAGAGGGAAAAGAAGAAAACGCUCCAGAAAAGAUAAAUUGAAG